GUAAGAUCAUAAUGAUGGUCAAUAAUGUCCUUCGAUUAUUUUCCCAUCAAAAUCGACACCAACAGUUUUAUAAAAUAUUGCAUCAAACAUGUGCAUGGCUUUUUGUAAUUUAGGUGGUGAGAAAAUAAUAAAAAUUACAUAAGAUGAAACACAUACAAGAACAUAGUUAGGUCUUUUAAAGAAUUAAAAUUUUUCAUUCUCAUAAUUAUCAAUAUUGUAGCAAACUUUAAUAAUACUUCAAUUAGUCAAAAUUUUAAAUCAAACGUU
rnacentral:lncRNA from 1 species